GGAAGAAAUUAGAAGAGACAAGAGAAAAGAUCUAGGGCAUUCAAACUCCAAGUAGAAGUCACCAACUCCACAUCUAACUCGGAUUAGACGGACAAUGUUACUCAACCAACUCAACGAACAUAACACUGCAAGAAAACAGGUUCAAAUUGAACUUGGAAUGAACCAUUAAUGCUAGAAAAUAAAUAUGGCAGAAAAAUUCAAUAGAGAAGACAAGUUUAAUCCAAGAUCCUGAGCCUGUAUUAUUGUUGCAGAGCUUCUUUUCCAAAUUAUAUCUUCUAAUCCAAAAUUUUAAAUCGCUGCAACCAAUGAAAAGCAUUGGAGGUCAUAAACAACGUGAAAUGACUAUAUAAAGUUAUUUUUAUAAUAUUUAGGGGGCAGAAAGAAAAAAGAACAAUAGAACAAGGACAUAUCAAUCUCAGAAUCUUGAAUACAGUCUCGGUGCAAUCCCAUACCCUUCAAUUGGUUCCUAAUGAAUAGAGAAACAAAAACCGAUUUCCAAGCAGGAGAGAAUAACGAAGGAAACAACACAAAGUAGCAAAUUUUAAAUUAAAAACAAAAAAAAAAAACACAAAAA